rnacentral:lncRNA from 1 species
AGUGUGUGUGAGCAGGGUGCCCACUGCAUGCAGGGUCCAUUAAGGCUUGGUUGGUGGGGCAAUAUGGGGGGGGGGGCGAGACAAAGAUCCCCCCCCGCAUGGGCUGUGUAGGGCCCCCAACAGCUCGAUUUGCUCUCAGGGCAGCACCGGGCAUUUGCAUAGCGAGAACCGUGCCCAUGGGGGAUGCCCCCACCAGGGCACAUGGGGGGGGAUUGGGGUAGCAUCAGUACCGGGGAGGGGCACUGCCAUGGCCCUGCUUUGAUGACAUCAUCACACGGACAGGGCUGGUCUGAUGACAUCACAAACACGCGGGAGGAGGGAUGGGGGUGGAGCUUGAUGCCAUCACCACAGUGCGCUAGGCACCUCGAUGACAUCACACAAGCAGCCAUGGGUCGAUGACAUCAUCAUGCCAGCACAGUGGUGGGGGGUGAGCUCCCCAGGCCGGGCCACGCCCUUACAGCGCCACUGGCUGCCUGUUGAUGACCUCACCGCCCACCUGAUGAUGCAACAGCUGCUGCUUAGUGACAUCAGCGAGCCAGGCCCCAGUUUGGCUCUGGCCCGCUGGUUGCCAUGGCGACGUAUAACCAGGGAGUGGCCAGGGGGCACUGAAAUUCCCCCCCCCAUCCCUGGAAUCCGGGGACACGUUAACCCUUCCCUGACGGGGCCAUGGCAAGGACCUGGGGAGCGGGGGCGGGGGGGGGCAAUCACAGUAUUAACCCUUCAGUGUACGUGGUAUUCUUGCGCGUAUAUAUUAUAUAUAUAUAUAUGUAUAGAUACUUUACACAGGACAUGCCAUUCACUGGGGGCAUUACAAUGGGGCGCUGCCUCCACUCCCCCGUGUCCAUGGAGCUUAGAAACCAGGCCGGGGGGGAGGCUUCCUCCUGGCUCCGUGCCCCGCACCCCACUGAUGGAAGCAGCUGUGACUAGAGGCGGGGGGGGGGCGCUUUGUGUAACCCCAUGCCGCCCUCUGCACAAAAACAGACCAGAUUCCUUUUGGGGGGACGGCCGAGGGGAUCCCGACCGUGUCUCCCAACAUUCAGGGGCGUCCCCCUGUUUCCCUGCGGCGUGUACACUGCGGGGGGGGCACCCUGCCCCCCCCACACUCCCCUCUUCUCAGUGCCCCGCCGCAUUUUUCUCCACAACGGCAGGGGGCAGGACUUGGGGGGCAGGGCCCCUCCCCGCUGGCAGGAUCACUCCCAGCGUCUUCGCCUCAGCCAAGCCCUUCCGGGGGGGGGCCAGCCCAUUUUUGGCACCCAAGCAGGGGCCUUUGGGGGAGGAGGGCUUGGUUCGGGGCCCCAGGGUGGUGUGCUCUUCCACCACCUCCAGGAUCAACUUCUCCUUCGGGGAGCCAGCCUGGUUCUGGGGGCCCUUGGGGGGCUGCCGGCCCUGGCCCCCCUCAACGUUCCUCUCCCACAGCCCCUGCCUGUCGGCGAUCUCUUGGGGCUCCACCACCAGGGGCACGGGCCCGCGCGGCGCCCCCUCUGCCUCGCCCCUCCUGCCCUGCUCAUAUUCCUGCACCGGGCUCAAGGCUUUGGCCGGCGGCCGGGCGGGAGUGGCAAAGGCUUCUUCGGUCUGAACCCCCUGGUGCCUCCUGACGCCCCCCGCCGGGUCGCGGGGGCUGCCGGCCGCCUCGGCACAGGCUGGGCCUUCCUUGGCGCUUGUCUGGCUCCCGCCGGCUGGGCCCGCCGCCUCCCCGGCUCCGAAGCUGAGGGCCGACUCCUGCCGGCCCAGCCGCCGGGCGGCCACUUGCCUGCCGGCC